rfam:Brachypodium distachyon strain Bd21 chromosome 4, whole genome shotgun sequence.
UUCAUACUUCCUCCAUCCAACAAAAGAUGUCUCAAGUUUGUCAAAAUUUGGAUAUAUCUAGACAUGACUUAGGGCGUAUAGAUGCAUUCAAGUUUGUUCAAAGUUGAGACAUUCUUUGUUGGACGGAGGGAGUAUUUA